rnacentral:misc_RNA from 1 species
ACAGGUGACUUCACUUGCCACUGUGACGUCAUAAUCAUUGUACAGGUUGUGAGACAGCCAAUCAGAACAAUAAAGUGCACAGAAACUCUCCAUUUCUCAUUGCCAAGUCCUUUAUUGAACAGGGUUAUCAAGUAGGUUGUGAAUUUACAAGAUAUGAUACACGAAUGUUUUUGCCCUUGAUAAGUAUUAUUACCUUGUUGACCUUUUUUUCGUAUUUUUUGUACACAAGUUGUUUUAAUGUUGGAGGAAAUCCAAGAUUUCUGUAGCUGCAUUUGACUAGGGAGAAAGGAGCACUUGUCCACAGACUGCAAAAAUUAAUUUAUUUUGAAAGUGCGAUUGUAUGACGAUGUUAUUAAUGAGGUAAAUAUGAUGAUGUUGACCUGUGUGAUUAUUGCUAGCAUUUAAAGGAUGUCUGGAGAGCUUCAAAGUCGUAAUACACUGUGUAUGUUGGCAUCCAUGCUCUAUUUUUUUUUUACUGAUACAGUAAGUACACAUGAAGCCGAGUCGGCGCCUAGACACAAGUAGAACCCGCUCAGUCUGUGCUCGGUCAGACAGACGGACGAACAUCGUGUGCCUUCUGAUGAUUUGUCUACAUUAUUUUUGUAACAUUCCGUACAACUGUGAUAUGUCAAUAGUAUUAUUUACAUUGUUUUAUACUAAUAAAUGCUUCAAACCAGACACCAGGUGUCGCUAU